AGCUAGUGUGGCAUAGUGGUUUGAGUACUGGACUGCAACUCUGGAGACCAGGGUUUAAUUCCCAGCUUGGCCA
rnacentral:tRNA from 1 species